GCAGGAGCGACGAUUCUCAACGGCAUAAAGGAAUUUGGUUAGAGUUUCUAUACUUCUCUAAUUUGAUCUUUUCGAUUUUACGAAAAGCUUUUUCGGUAUUUUUUUGGAGUUUUCGUUGGAGAAGAAAGGUGGGAUUCACCAUAAGGUUAUUGAUUUUUUAUCCGGAGAAGACAUAAGGUGUAAGCUUGUACUUCUAUUUCUUCAUAUAGUGGAAUACAUUUCUCUCGCUCUCCCCGUGGACGUAGGCAAUUGCCGAACCACGUAAAUUUUGGUUUCUUCUUUCUGCAUUUAUUUUUUUUACCGUUCGAUCGAUUUUCUCUAUUUUUCGUGCAUUUUUGUUGGUAGCACAUGACGGACGAUACAUCCGGUUCCCAACAAUGGCAAGAUAGCAAUUUGUUUCUCUUCACU
rnacentral:lncRNA from 1 species